rnacentral:rRNA from 1 species
GAUGAACGCUAGCGGGAGGCCUAAUACAUGCAAGUCGAGCGGUAGAGUGACUUCGGUUGCUUGAGAGCGGCGAACGGGUGAGUAACGCGUACACAAUCUACCUUUAAGAGGGGAAUAGCCCUGGGAAACUGGGAUUAAUGCCCCAUGGCAUCACGAGACGGCAUCGUUUUGUGAUUAAAGCUGAGGUGCUUAGAGAUGAGUGUGCGUCUGAUUAGCUAGUUGGUGCGGUAACGGCGCACCAAGGCGACGAUCAGUAGGGGGCGUGAGAGCGUGGACCCCCACACGGGUACUGAGACACGGACCCGACUCCUACGGGAGGCAGCAGUAAGGAAUAUUGGUCAAUGGAGGAAACUCUGAACCAGCCAUCCCGCGUGCAGGAAGAAUGCCCUAUGGGUUGUAAACUGCUUUUAUCUGGGAAGAAAAGUCGGGAUUUAUCCUGAUCUGACGGUACCAGAGGAAUAAGCACCGGCUAACUCCGUGCCAGCAGCCGCGGUAA